CAAGUCCGAACGCAGUAGCAAUACUGAGUGGCAAACGGGUGAGUAUAAUGUGGGAAUCUGCCUUUUGGUUUGGAAUAACACGGGGAAACUUGUGCUAAUACCGAAUAAGCCCUUACGGGGAAAGUUUUAACGCCGAAAGAUGAGCCUGCACUUGAUUAGCUAGUUGGUAAGGUAAAGGCUUACCAAGGCAACGAUCAAUAGCUGUUCUUAGAGGAAGACCAGCCACAUUGGGACUGAGACACGGCCCAGACUCCUACGGGAGGCAGCAGUGGGGAAUCUUGCACAAUGGGGGAAACCCUGAUGCAGCGAUGCCGCGUGAGUGAAGAAGGCCUUUGGGUUGUAAAACUCUUUCGUCGGGGAAGAAAAUGACUGUACCCGAAUAAGAAGGUCCGGCUAACUUCGUGCCAGCAGCCGCGGUAAUACGAAGGGACCUAGCGUAGUUCGGAAUUACUGGGCUUAAAGAGCUCGUAGGUGGUUAAAAAAGUUGAUGGUGAAAUCCCAAGGCUCAACCUUGGAACUGCCAUCAAAACUUUUUAGCUAGAGUGUGAUAGAGGUAAGUGGAAUUUCUAGUGUAGAGGUGAAAUUCGUAGAUAUUAGAAAGAACACCAAAUGCGAAGGCAACUUACUGGGUCACUACUGACACUGAGGAGCGAAAGCAUGGGUAGCGAAGAGGAUUAGAUACCCUCGU
rnacentral:rRNA from 1 species